rnacentral:rRNA from 1 species
CCGAUGGCGAAGGCAGCCUUCUGGCAUAAUACUGACACUGAGGCUCGAAAGCGUGGGUAGCAAACAGGAUUAGAUACCCUGGUAGUCCACGCCCUAAACGAUGUCAACUGGUUGUUGGGUCUUAGCUGACUCAGUAACGAAGCUAACGCGUGAAGUUGACCGCCUGGGGAGUACGGCCGCAAGGCUAAAACUCAAAGGAAUUGACGGGG